AUUAGGGUUUUCCUAGUUUCCUUAUUUAAACGGAAAUCGACAGUGCGAAUUUCGGUUCCCACAAUGAUGGUGCACAACAGAAUACAAUUUGACAGAACCAUGGCCUACAUGAAUUGAUAUUAUAGACACCAUUUAUGUCUGAUAAUGUGUAAUGUAAACAUAAUCAAAAAAGAAACUGAAAGAGUCUCAAACGUGUGUUAGAAGUGAAAGAGUCUCAAACGUCCAUGGACAAAUCAUCCACUACGCGACUUCCUAAUUCUGGAACUCAUGUAACUUCCAUGGACAAAGUUUACAUUGCUAUGCGACUAUUGAUAUGGUUGAGCUAUAUGAAGUUCACCUUUUCCUAUCAUUAUCAAAGGUCAACAGAAAGUAAUGGUGAUCACAGAUGUGGAGAGAGUUCAAAAGCAGACUUCGUGUCUCAUUGGAGUAAAGCUUAAAAUAUAUCGUCAUAAAUACAUCAUAAUAAAUAUAUGGGACUUUUGCUAUGAUAGUUGUGUUUCUAUGAUAUAUGCGAACCAAUGUUAAAUUUGUAAACUAUGGUUUAUAUGAGGUGCUCUAUAAUUCCUUAAAAGAGGAUUUAGAGGCCAUAGACAACUGCCGCAUAGGAUGAGUCUUUUUUUAAUUAAUACAAAAUUAAGGUUCUAAUUUGUUUAAAGAUCCUCAAUUAAUAUAUAGGGGAUAGAAAAAAAAGUAAGUGGAUAUUUCAUUUUACUAAACAAUUGUAUUGACUAAGGAUAUAUUAGAUUUUCCAAAUAUGAUUCAAAACUUGAUUUUAAAUGCAAAAUUAUACUCAAAUUUGAAUCAAUUGCAAAACGAACCUAAAAACCUUGUGAUUACAGUCAACUCCUUGUGACCAAACAAAAAAAAAAUUCAUUUUUACGAAUAUAGCCCAUAAAGUCUUUUGAGUCUUCUCGGAUAAUGUAAGUCUUCUGAUAUAGUUGAUCUUAAAGAUAAUUUAUAAAUUUUGUAAAAAAUAUUUUAAUGAGUGAAAAAUUGAAAUCAUGUAACUAUUCAGAGUUUUAAGUGAUAUAAAUUAAAAUAUAGUAAAAUUGAAUUGAAUUGUUUUCAACAUAGAUGAGUGAAAAUAGUGAAUCAUGAUAUUCUUUGUCUAGGGUUUGAAAACAUAUGUUGUAGUAUUGUAUGUAUUUUUAGGGUUAGAUUUUGGAAAGCUUAAAUAGUUUUUUGAAAAAGUAAAAAUUUUACAUGUAUAUGUUUAUUUCUUUGUAUAAUAAACAUCUUUUAAGUUUAAUUUGAUUUUAAAAAGUGCUAAGUUAGUUAAUUUAGUUUAGGAAGUCGUCUAGAAAAUUUCCAUGGGCUUAGUUAGUGGACCAAUUUUACAAAUAAUCUCUCAUGGAUUUAUUAGCGUUCCUCCGAAGCGGUGGCUGCUACAAGAAUGGAAUAUUCCAAAGCAUUCGCUUCUUCAAAAGUUUGAAGAAGAUUUUAUGAAGAUUUUUUUUCUUAUUCUCUCAAGAGUCGAAGUGGAAACACUAGCAUGUAAUAAUUAUAUGUCCUGAAUAAUCGACCCGUUUGCCAAGCAGUCGGCCAAACCGUACAUAAUAUUCCCGCCUAAAAUUGUAAGAAAAUUUUAUUUUCCCGCUUCAAUAUUAAUUUUUCCAGAACUUUAAAAAAAAAAAAAUUUUGCAUGAUAAAUAUUUAGCUUUACUGUAUUAAAAUGCAAAACCCCUAAUCUCAUAAAAAAUAAUUCUCUCUCUCAGAGCGUCUCCCUCUUCAUCUCAUUUUCUCAUGAACACUUUUCUUCUCAUAAUCUUCUAUAGCUUUCUUCCAUGGGUUUAACCUAUCCUGGGGACUCACUGAUGAUAAGAGCAGCAUGAACUCAAGAUCCGACUCAAGAUCUCUCACGCCGGGCCACCUCUCUCACGCUUGGAGGAAGCAAGACAAGAUGAGGCCGGAACCACACCACUACGGGAGAUGAAGGAUUGAGAAGAAGCUUGAUGGUUAAGGAGACAAGGCCAGCCGUGGUCGCUGUGGUGGUGGUGGUACACCGAGUGUUGCGCUCCUGCCAAAUGGCAUAAAUCGCAGCUUGCCAUGCUUGCAGAAGAGCAAUUCUAAGAACAAGAUCAGGGGAGGCAGAGGCAACCAAUAAUAAUUCUUAAAAAGUUCAGAGCCUUUGAGCGCAUCUUUAGCAGUCUUGGUUGUUCAUUCUUGAUAGGAAUCCAACACUCAGCAAAAUCAAACUUCGGUAUAUUCUCUUGGAAUUGCUUGAAGAGUCAAGAAAUCACUUAUUUUUUACUGUGGUUAGUGCGAAGAGUUUUUUUUUUUUUUUUUGAAAAAAAAAUAGUGCGAAGAGUUAAAAGAACAUUAAUCUAUUUUAUUGAUCUUUCGGGUUGUCAAGGACAAAUCUAUAACACUUUCGAACGGUGGAGCUAAGUCUGGGGUAGAGCUUGUUGAAUUAUGGUCUAUGCACUAAUCGCUUGUGAGCAACAAUACCAUCAUAUGCUAAGAACUAUGGAGUUGUGAGCAACAGUAUCAUCAUCAAUUCAUCAUUUUCUCGGGAUUAUGGUGCUGCGAGCAUCAAUGUCAUCAUCAUAUGCUUGAAAAUAGAAAGAUAAUUCGACCAUCCCGGCCCACCAAAUCGACCUCAAAAUGAAGAUUGAGAAAUUUUUAAUUUGUAGAUAAUGAAGCCAUCAUCUUUGCAUCAACAACCCACAUAUACUGAAAAUACUCAUAGGUCAAAAUGAUUGAUCCCAGUUUACUAUAUAUCCCCAUGCCUUGGAAAAUAUAAUGGCAAAGCCUUUUAUAAAGAUCUAGCCAAGACUAGGACAACAACAACAAGGUUUGAUUUCAUAUUCACUCUUCCCAUAUGUGUUUAACAGUGAAAUCAUUUUGUUAUAUGGUAUAUCCAUAUUUUUAGGCGUUUAAAAUUUAGGUCUUAUGAAACAAGACGACAUUUUAAUGAAACAAGAUCAUUCAUGGAAAAUGAAUAUCACAACAAAAGAG